UACGUAGGGCGCAAGCGUUGUCCGGAAUUAUUGGGCGUAAAGAGCUCGUAGGCGGUUUGUCGCGUCUGCUGUGAAAAACUCGAGGCUCAACCUCGGGCUUGCAGUGGGUACGGGCAGACUAGAGUGCGGUAGGGGAGACUGGAAUUCCUGGUGUAGCGGUGGAAUGCGUAGAUAUCGGGAGGAACACCAGUGGCGGAAGGCGACUUCCUGGCCUGUUCUUGACGCUGAGGCGGCGAAAAGCUGAGGGGGAGCAAACAGGG
rnacentral:rRNA from 1 species